GACGAACGCUGGCGGCGUGCUUAACACAUGCAAGUCGAACGGAAAGGCCCUGCUUUUGUGGGGUGCUCGAGUGGCGAACGGGUGAGUAACACGUGAGUAACCUGCCCUUGACUUUGGGAUAACUUCAGGAAACUGGGGCUAAUACCGGAUAGGAGCUCCUGCUGCAUGGUGGGGGUUGGAAAGUUUCGGCGGUUGGGGAUGGACUCGCGGCUUAUCAGCUUGUUGGUGGGGUAGUGGCUUACCAAGGCUUUGACGGGUAGCCGGCCUGAGAGGGUGACCGGCCACCUGGGGACUGAGAUACGGCCCAGACUCCUACGGGAGGCAGCAGUGGGGAAUAUUGCACAAUGGGCGGAAGCCUGAUGCAGCAACGUCGCGUGCGGGAUGACGGCCUUCGGGUUGUAAACCGCUUUCGCCUGUGACGAAGCGUGAGUGACGGUAAUGGGUAAAGAAGCACCGGCUAACUACGUG
rnacentral:rRNA from 1 species